GCUUUUCUCUUUUCUUCCAUUGUUCUUUUUCUUAGUAAUCUUCAUAUGUUUCUUCACAUUCUUCCCAUAACAAACUAAUAUCCAAAGAAUAAAUUUCUUGAAAUCAUUUUUUGUUAUUUCUUUAUGAUUUCUUCUACAAUUUCUUUCAAAAUUAUUAGUUAUACUUCCAAAAAUACACAACCUUAACAAACAUUCAUCAGAUUUUUUAGAACUAGAUAAUCUCUUUUUUUUUCUUGGUGAUAUCCACCAUUUUUACCACCACCGACAGUGGACUUCCUCUGGAGAAAACCACCGUCAGCUAGCACUAUCAUCUAACCUACUAUCGCAGCUACCAGGUCGUCGGAUUUCAAGCCUCCAGAUGUAUCCGAACCUCCGAUAUGUCGUUAACUACCAGAUCGUAUGAUUUAUUUAGAUCAGAUCUAGAUCUGGUCGGAUUUUCACCGGGAUCAUCCAGAUCCAUCGUCAAUGAGCACCGACGCCUUCAUCGCACCAUAACCACAACCUUUCGGUACCACCAACAACGAACACCACCACCUGCAAUCAUUCCAGAUAUGCAUAGGUCUGGUCAGAUCUGGUUAGAUCUGAUAUUUAGAUGCAAUUUUGUUAAGCCUUUUGUUUUCCGGAGAGCUUCUUUGCCUCAGAUCGUUGGGAGAGUCACUAACUGACAUCAUCAUCUCAAAUCUAAAGCCAAAUACAUAUACCGAUUUCUCGGAUUUGGUGAGAUUUGUUGUGUCUGAUGUAUUUUCAAACAUAAAUCUAAUGUUUACAAAGCAUUUCAUGGUGGCCAGUUGUUGUUCCACUACCACCUCAGAUAUGAAAACAAUGUGCACACAAGGUGUUUGAUGAAAUGCCUAAACGAGAUCUAGGGAAAGAUGUUGACAGUAUUGGCACCGAUGGUCAGUGGUCGAGAUGGUUGAUGGUAGUGGAUAUUGGUGGUGGUGGUAGAGUAAGGAUAUGUUCUAUUUCUCACUCAUCUUCAUCUUCUUCACUGAUUCUUCGAUGAUUUCAAAUAAGUUAUCCUCUUUUAUUAUUCAUGUAUAUGUUUUUUUCUUUUGAUGUUUGCUUCUGAAAUAUGAGAUAACUUAUUUAUGUAUUAAACUGUGAAUGAGUUUUUUAUACACUAAAAUAUGAUAUUAUACUUGUAAAUGAGUUGUUAAUGCAUUAUAUUAAACAA